rnacentral:lncRNA from 1 species
UUAAAGAAAGACAAGACCUUCUUGAUGAGGAGCCUCACAGCUGCUGAAAUUGGAAAAAAGAACAGCUUAUCACUGUCUGUCCUGUAUGUUUGCUUAGCCUGGCCUAGUAUACACGUAUAAUCCCUUUGCGGCCAGAAUGCCGUCGGUGACCCAGUCGUGUGCUGAUUGGCAUGUGAUAAGGGAGGAAGGAGGGGGAUAGGAUCAUUGUCCAAUCCAUCCCACAGGUCCCCCCUGGUUUGCCUUGAGACGAAGGCAUCAGCCUAAUUUGUCUUAGCACCGUUGCCUGGAUUCUUGACGGGGUCUCGGCUUCUUUCAGCUGUCAAUAAUUUACUACAGCCUACAGGUUAUAGGCUAUUGUGCGCCCCAUGUAGAUAGAGCAUAGAUUGGGUAAGAGUGGAAGAGUUGCUUCGUGGAGAAGGCCACCACACAGAUUAGUCAGAGGCAUGCACCCCCACUCCGAAGGCAUUGACAGUGGGCUACACCUGUGGGGGGCCUAAGAAAGCAACCUGAAAAGGGAUUAUUCAUGGUUGUGGUACAAAUGUGAUGCACAAGGCUUUGGAGGAAAAAAGGUCCACAUUUUAGGCUUUAGCUUUCACUGGUGGGGGUGUUCAAUUCUGAUGUUCACAUUGCUAGUCUUAUACUGUCGCUAUUCUAUGCACGGGUCAUCUGGAUCGGAUCUGGUGUUUUGAUAUAUGGCACGAACAUGGAAUGUAUUGAGAACGUACUAUGUGAAUCUAGUUUAUGGCUCCACAGAGUAAAAAUGUUUGCCAUUCUCUCAUUAUCUUCUUGAGCCUUUUGGAUCCUUGGAUCUUUGUCCUGUCAAGAAUCUAGCGAUAAAGGAUAACUACAGUACUACACUGUAAUCCUUUCGCAUGCCCCUAAUUGCUUCUUCCUUGUUUUGGGUGGUAAAAGGAUUUAACAUGGUGUGGUGCAAAUGUGAUUCAUCAUGGUCUGAAGAAAAAGACUACAUAUUUCAGGCUUUAGCUUUCAGUAAUCAGGGUCUGUGGUUCUAAUGUUCACACUACUAGUGUUGUCGUGAGUAACAACAUGCUGUGAUGUCGAAUUGUCGAGCUCUUGCGUCACUCAGCGAUUUUUUCCAUAUUAAGGUUUUGGCUGUGGGAGAUGGCUUCCCAUGGGGGAAAUGCUGAAGAUGUCCUGUUCUUCAUAUGAUUGAUCUUUACCUAACUCCUGAUGUUUAGCUUGCUUGCCUGCCUGCUUAUUCUCUGCAAAUAUUUCAAGGUUUGCUUUUUGUUCAAGGAAAAAGUGACAUCACAUAUCACUAGGUCUGGUUAGACUUGAUCAAACAAUCUCCUCCUAAUUCAUUUGACAGCAAGAUCUCAAUCCAGAUGUUCUCACUAGUCCAACCUUUAAGGUAUCUAAAACAUACCAACUAAAAAUCUGGCCAUGGGGUCGCGUGUUGAUGAACCGAUAGCAGUGACAGCAUAUUGACGCAAAACAUAUUAUCGAAUGCUGUUUUUUUUUUCAGCACCUGCCUUUUGUUGUCAACCAUGGUCAAAGUAUGAGUUCUGUUAACAAUAUUGCCUAGUGCCGGCCUGAAGGUGACAUGUUGCUUGUCCAGGCGAACUUCUUCCAGUCCCUGUCGCUGAUCGAAAUUUGAAUAGAUUCAUACAUCAUAUAAUUUUCAUUUAACUAGUGGAUUUCCUGUUAGCCUCUAUUACUAUUGGUAUCAGAUUACAUACGUCCCUGAAGCUGUUCAAUUCUGUUUCCAUGAGAUGUUCAAAGAUGGUCAUCUGAUAGAGAUGGUGUGUAAUAAUAUUCUCCCGUUGACCAUGAGAAGAUUGUUGUUUACAUAUUCUGUGUAUAAGCAUCUCAGACAAGGUAGGCAAGAAGACUACGUUACUGUGAGCAUAUUUUAAGCAGUAUGACUUAACUGCAAAGCUUGUUUUGUGUAUGAAAACCUGAAAGAACAUUUUUAAAACAAUUGACCAAUGUUUUCAACUAUGUGCUGAAAUCAAAUGGUGACAUGUUUGGCAGGAAAGGGUGAAGGAGUUCAUCUCCUGCGUGAAGGAAAAGGCUGCCUUGCCCAAACUUUGUUCGUAAUUACCUAAGUUCUAGGUUGACCUGAUCCUGCAUGACAACUUGGCAAGUAUAUAUCUUUCUCCUUUAUUUUGUUUAUCUUUUCCUUGCAGAAAAACGGACCCUAGGUCCUAGAUGAGUUAUUUGGUUCAGUCUAAAUGGGUACAAGGAAGUAGCCAGUUUGGUACUGAUGUGCUACCGUAGCUGAUGUGCAUAGGCCUUUGCUUCUUCAAGCACACAAGCAGAUCGCAUAACAAAAGAUUAGCUUGCUUUAUGAUGCUUCAAGCUAAGCAGUAGCUUCUCUUUCUGUAUAAUUGACUGUCACAAUGUUGGUGACUUUUAAGGAGCUAAUAAUUCAAUCAUGCCUGAUUGGUUAGUUAGCAAGCUUGAAACCUUCUACUUAAAGUCCUGAUCAGCACAAGAAAACUGAGCCAUCUAGGUCUAUUUUGUAAGGCAGAAAUCAGAAUCACAUCCAAUCUGUGCCACACAACUGUCUGAGACUUUAGCCUGAACCUUGACAACUAUAACCAUUAAUAUUCAUAGAAAAGCAAGACUACCAAGUCUCAGGAUCAAUAGGUCAUACCUUAUGCUUAACAAUUGCCUCCAUGAAUAUUUUUCUAACGGACGGCAAGAGCUCUGCCUAUUCAUUAAGCUGCGGAACACAAUUCCAUGUCACACGUGUCCCAGGUAGACACGGAGAGGAAAUCGCCAACUUUGUGGCUGGCUGGAUGCUUCUUCGGAUAUGAG